GAUGAACGCUGGCGGCGUGCCUAAUACAUGCCAGUCGAGCGAACGGACGAGAAGCUUGCUUCUCUGAUGUUAGCGGCGGACGGGUGAGUAACACGUGGAUAACCUACCUAUAAGACUGGGAUAACUUCGGGAAACCGUAGCUAAUACCGGAUAAUAUUUUGAACCGCAUGGUUCAAAAGUGAAAGACGGUCUUGCUGUCACUUAUAGAUGGAUCCGCGCUGCAUUAGCUAGUUGGUAAGGUAACGGCUUACCAAGGCAACGAUGCAUAGCCGACCUGAGAGGGUGAUCGGCCACACUGGAACUGAGACACGGUCCAGACUCCUACGGGAGGCAGCAGUAGGGAAUCUUCCGCAAUGGGCGAAAGCCUGACGGAGCAACGCCGCGUGAGUGAUGAAGGUCUUCGGAUCGUAAAACUCUGUUAUUAGGGAAGAACAUAUAUGUAAGUAACUGUGCACAUCUUGACGGUACCUAAUCAGAAAGCCACGGCUAACUACGUG
rnacentral:rRNA from 1 species